AGAGUUUGAUCCUGGCUCAGAACGAACGCUGGCGGCAGGCUUAACACAUGCAAGUCGAGCGCCCCGCAAGGGGAGCGGCAGACGGGUGAGUAACGCGUGGGAAUCUACCCAUCUCUACGGAACAACUCCGGGAAACUGGAGCUAAUACCGUAUACGUCCUUCGGGAGAAAGAUUUAUCGGAGAUGGAUGAGCCCGCGUUGGAUUAGCUAGUUGGUGGGGUAAUGGCCUACCAAGGCGACGAUCCAUAGCUGGUCUGAGAGGAUGAUCAGCCACACUGGGACUGAGACACGGCCCAGACUCCUACGGGAGGCAGCAGUGGGGAAUAUUGCACAAUGGGCGGAAGCCUGAUGCAGCAACGCCGCGUGCGGGAUGACGGCCUUCGGGUUGUAAACCGCUUUCGCCUGUGACGAAGCGUGAGUGACGGUAAUGGGUAAAGAAGCACCGGCUAACUACGUGCCAGCAGCCGCGGUGAUACGUAGGGUGCGAGCGUUGUCCGGAUUUAUUGGGCGUAAAGGGCUCGUAGGUGGUUGAUCGCGUCGGAAGUGUAAUCUUGGGGCUUAACCCUGAGCGUGCUUUCGAUACGGGUUGACUUGAGGAAGGUAGGGGAGAAUGGAAUUCCUGGUGGAGCGGUGGAAUGCGCAGAUAUCAGGAGGAACACCAGUGGCGAAGGCGGUUCUCUGGGCCUUUCCUGACGCUGAGGAGCGAAAGCGUGGGGAGCGAACAGGCUUAGAUACCCUGGUAGUCCACGCUGUAAACGGUGGGUACUAGGUGUGGGGUCCAUUCCACGGGUUCCGUGCCGUAGCUAACGCUUUAAGUACCCCGCCUGGGGAGUACGG
rnacentral:rRNA from 1 species